GGAACAGCUCUGACCUGUAUGGUGAUCAGCACCGGAGAGGAGAGACACCUGGUCCAGCAAGGUGACGGACGAGCAGCUAAGACGAAUAAGACGAGCCGCCACAGGACCUGAAGCAGGAAAACUGAGUAUCUGUCUUUGUUGACUCUGGUUUCACCUGCUCAGACAGUGAGCAUUGUUGUCUUUGCUUGUUAUUUACACAAUAAAACCUUUUUUUGAAUUACA